AUUGAACGCUGGCGGCAGGCCUAACACAUGCAAGUCGAGCGGAUGACGGGAGCUUGCUCCUUGAUUCAGCGGCGGACGGGUGAGUAAUGCCUAGGAAUCUGCCUGGUAGUGGGGGACAACGUUUCGAAAGGAACGCUAAUACCGCAUACGUCCUACGGGAGAAAGCAGGGGACCUUCGGGCCUCGCGCUAUCAGAUGAGCCUAGGUCGGAUUAGCUAGUUGGUGGGGUAAUGGCUCACCAAGGCGACGAUCCGUAACUGGUCUGAGAGGAUGAUCAGUCACACUGGAACUGAGACACGGUCCAGACUCCUACGGGAGGCAGCAGUGGGGAAUAUUGGACAAUGGGCGAAAGCCUGAUCCAGCCAUGCCGCGUGUGUGAAGAAGGUCUUCGGAUUGUAAAGCACUUUAAGUUGGGAGGAAGGGCAGUAAGCUAAUACCUUGCUGUUUUGACGUUACCGACAGAAUAAGCACCGGCUAACUCUGUGCCAGCAGCCGCCGCCGUAA
rnacentral:rRNA from 1 species